CCAUGUCUUACAAAACUCUCAGGCAGCGGUUACAGUUGCGUUUGUGAAGUUGACUUCCUCCGGCCGCUUCCUGUUCUUCUUCUCCUUUAGCUCUCGCCGAGGGCCUCGCUGUUGAUCUGGUUCAGAUUCUUGCAGGGCUUUGAUUGGCUCUCAUAAACACUCAGCUCUUACACAGAUGAAGAUUAUCAGCAGAUUCUCUGUGAAUCACUGAGAAUUGAGGAAGUCUGAGUUCAGAGUUUGAAUGUGUUAAAGACAGACACAUUUGGUGUGUUUAACACACACUUACAGCCGUUACAGCACUGAAGACAUCCACAGAUGACUCUCAUCCUCUCACUCCCAUCCUCUUUUCCUCUCUAGUGAAUGAAAGGAAGAGAGAGACGACUGCUCAGAGAUCUCACAGCGGUGUCUGUUCUCCAGACGUCUUCUUCAGUGAUCUGCUGCUGAGACAACAACAGAACCACAGAUCAUCUUCAGCUCAGCUUCAACACUUCAUCAACCUCAGACGGAAGAGAAGAACAGACAGAAGAACAGACAGAAGAACAGACAGAAGAGAUGAACAGACAGAAGAACAGACAGAGGAGAAGAACAGACAGAAGAGAAGAACAGACAGAAGAACAGACAGAAGAACAGACAGAAGAGAUGAACAGACAGAAGAACAGACAGAAGAGAAGAACAGACGGAAGAACAGACAGAAGAGAAGAACAGUCAGAAGAACAGACAGAAGAGAAGAACAGACAGACGAGAAGAACUAACAGAAGAACAGACAGAAGAGAAGAACUGACAGAAGAGAAGAACAGACCGAAGAACUGACAGAAGAGAAGAACUGACAGAAGAGAAGAACAGACAGAAGAACAGACAGAAGAACUGACAGAAGAGAAGAACAGACAGAAGAACAGACAGAAGAACAGAUAGAAGAGAAGAACAGACAGAAGAACAGACAGAAGAGAAGAACAGACAGAAGAACAGACAGAAGAGAAGAACUGACAGAAGAGAAGAACAGACAGAAGAACAGACAGAAGAGAAGAACUGACAGAAGAACAGACAGAAGAGAAGAACAGACAGAAGAACAGA